rnacentral:lncRNA from 1 species
CAUGGGUAGCAGCAUUCCUCUGUCUCUGGGGAGUGAGUGGCAGUGACUAUUGGCUACUUUGGUUGCUAAAGCUGCCAGUGUUCUUGGCAGAGAAGGCUGCUGGAAUCUACACCAGUAAACACUAUGGAAUCUUCUAUUUUGAAAGCUGUGGGUAGUCCAUGGUUGUCAUAGAAGCUCCUGAAGUCCUCAGGAAGAAAGGCUGCCAUAGUCUUGUUUAGAACAGGCUGCUGGGGACUGUAGUGGCAUCUACUGCAUUGUUUUACUGAUAGUACCUACCCAUAUUUUUUACUCUUAACCAUCUCCAGACACUUUAGCAAAACCAAUCUCUCCAGGCAAUCCUUUCCAUGAUGUUAUUCUCCACAUUUUGCUCCACUGUGUUGUUGUAGGUUCUUAAUUGGAGUCUUGAACCCUACUGGGGCUAUUUUCAGUCAUAGAUAGCUAUCUAUUGUUUUGUUGUUUUUGGGAAUUAUAUCUGAUAUCUUCUAUUCUACUGUCUUGCUGUUGUCCUUUAUUCUUCUUUUUCCCUCUGUUAUUCUCCGUAUCAUUGCUAUAAUGUAUUUAUUAUCUAUCUAUUGUCUUUCUAGGCAUUGCUAUUCCAAUCUGCUCGAUUAACAUCACUGACUUCUCAUUGUUUAUAUUAUCUUGUAUAAAAAUGCUAGUCUUGUGUAUAUAAAUCCACAUAUACUAGUCUAAACCUACUUCACGCAGCUUAUGUCUCUUAUUAUUCCCAUCUGGGCCUCUCCUCUAACUAGUGACUUUUCACCAAAAUCACACUUGUAAAGGUGACUUUAGUUACCCUGUUUCCAUAGAAUCCUCUUCUAAUUCUUAUUAAAUGUCUCUUCUUAAGAGAUCCUGUUCAAAUGCCAUCUCUUGUGGGAAAUCUUCAUUAAUUGCUCUAGAUAGAAUUCAAUAUAUCGGUCUCUAUGUUGUCACACCAUUAUGUUCACAACUUUCUCAUUGUGCUUGUACAUUUUAUUGAAAUUCUCUUGUCCACUUCAUCCCUCUUUUAUUGGGACCCCUGGAGGUGGGGGAUCUGUGUAUAAUUCCUUUAUGAAGUCCUUGCACAUGGCAAAAGUAAGGCAUUGUAAAUGCUUCUAAAUAGUUUACUGAAGCAAUAUGAGGUCAUGAAGAAGGUAAAAGAAGCUACUUCUUCACUUUUAAUUACUCACAGAUCUCAAGUGUGAAAUUGCUAUAAAUAUGAAUGAAAAUAUCCUGACCUCCAUUUUAUCACAAUUCCCAGGCUGAGUCUGUAGUUAGAGGUGGAGAAUAGUGGAAAAGGGUGGUGUAGCUUGGUAGAAAGCAUAGUAGCCUAGAAUUAAUGAGACCCUCAGCCCUGGUUUUGCAAUGUCACUUAAUAGCCAAAUGAUGUAGUUAUUGUCUUUAUUCUCUAUCUACAAAUGAAAGAAACAGUUGUUAAAAAUUUUUAUGAUGGCCUUCAAGUUUUCCAAUGUAUUUAGGAAAAAAAAUGUAAAUUUUUUAAAAAGUUAAUGUUAUCUUGCCCAGAGAAUUUCUUCAAGUUGAUAUCUUAGAUAUUACAAAACUGAUUUUUCAAGUUUCUAAAUUUAAUUAUCUUUUUUCCUGGCAUGAAUUGGUUAAUUAACAUAAAAUGCCUAUGACUUAUAGUGGCAUAAAAUAUAUUAAUUGAUGAAUAACAAACUAUUAUUAAUGUCAAAUGUAAUCAUACAUUUUUAAAUAAUACUUUGAAAUUUGCAAAAUGACUUUCUUUCAUUUAUCUUAUAAUGAUCUUAAGGGAUAGAUGAAGUAGAUAUUUUUCCUGUCUUACAUGGCCUGAAAAAUUAGAGAAAUACAUUAAAUAAUUUUUCCAGCAUUAACAAGCUACAAUGUUAUAAAACUGAAACUUGACUAAUUAUUGCAAUACAUCACAGUUUUUCUAAAAUGUUUUGAGGCUGAGGCUUUGAAUUAAUACUCAGCUUUCCUGGAACAUUUUUCAAGAUUUUGGUUUAUCCUUUUUUUAAAAGAAACAAAGCAGGAUUGAGUUAGGGAAGUCAGAAUGUUUUGGUUAGUUUUAGGAUCUCAAAUUUCAUGAGGCCAAUAAAGUGUUACAUUGUUUUUCUUUUAUGAUUUUUAAAUAUAUUAGUUUUGGUAUCUCUGCAUGAUGGUAUAAUCAACAAACCUCAGUUCUAAUCACACAUGUUCUAAUAAUAGUCAUUCAACAUAAUUUUAGAAUAAGCUUUGAACAAGAGUUAAAUUUAAUGAUUCUUCAAACUUCAAACUACUCUCUAUACUUAUGACACCAUCUCUAGAUGGCUGUUGAUUAUGAAACUAGGAUUAACAAUAAAUCAGUGUAAACAUUAUUAUUGGAAUUUCUUACUGGGCACUAGAAUAUAAAUCCUGACUGAGGUGAGUUGUUUUGAAACAGAAAAACCCUUCAUGGAUGAAAGCUAAUAAAAAUAGAAUUAUAUGUUUAAAAUAAGUUUAUAAUUUUUGAGAUGAGAUACACUUUUUUAAUUUUCUAAAGAGUCAAAAUAAAGAUGAACAUUAAUAGACUCAGUAUUUAUAGGAAAACAUAGAUACAAGCACCUCGACUUCAAGGUCUUUUAUAAUUUCCAUUUUAGGAUCAAUUCUUGACAUAUGCAUAAGCUGUCAUAAAUUUGCUUUACUAAGAUGUAAGAACAGUAUCAACUCAACAAUUUUUAAAAUCUCACUUCCAUAGCAGUCCUAAUUAUUACUUUGUGCAAUCGUUCUCAAUCUCGACUAUAUAUACCCAGACUUUUAAAAAAUAUUGAUAUCUGGAAACUGGGGCCACAGAUUCAGUAGAACAAAAAUUCUGAGGAAUCUGAAAGUUACCCUAGCAUACACAAUUAUGUUUGUACUAUUUUCAUGUUCAAUAUAUUUCAGUGAAUUUUAAUGACUAAAAAUCAAUAGCCUGUGGAUGAUAUAUACCAUAAUUCCAUUGCCAAGACUGUUUUAUUAAGUGAAUAGCCAAUUCUCAAUAGGUCUGGAAGUCAGUGCUGCGAUAUGAAGAGGGCUCCUGGAGCCAUUAUUGGUAUGUGCAUAUGUAAUAUAUUUAUAAUCUUCCUACUACAACAGUUCAGUCCCGCAGAAGACCUUUCUCAUCACAUCAUCAGUCCAGGUAGGUAGAGUGAACCAAAAGGGAAAUAUUAACUCUUCUCUUCAGUAGUCAUGAUCCAUUAUCAACAUUCUGUUUUGAUACAGUAUGAAUUAUUCAGACUUAUUUACUAUUCAUAUAUUUGAUUGAAUAGAAAAAAUGUUUACAAUUGCCUUUUGCAACAUUGAAAAUGCCCUAUGCUUUGACUAAUUCCAACUUCUGGCAGUCACAAAUGUAUAAUAUUUAAGUCCCCUAAUUACUAUUUAUGAUAAUUAACAGCUUUUCUAUUGCAGGUAGCCACCACCACCCUCCAACUUGAUAACAUUUUUCUCAGCUGAAAUAUUCUUAAUUUAUAUUUUACUUACUGGCUUCGUUUUUUUCUUUCAACUCUUUUUGGAAUGUAACCUCCAAAAGAUUUUUUAAUUGGUUCUUAUUUGCUAUCAAGCAACUCUAAGUAGAACAUAUAUUAUUAGCAUAUUGUCCUUGAGAAAAAAACGUGGAAACAAAUCUGAACUAACUCUUAUUACUUCAAUGAUUCGGAUAUUUACACACACAUGCACAUACAUACUUAUUUUAAAAAAGAGUGUUUAAUAUUAUUUAUAAGCUGGAAGAAUAUUUUCAGAUCAGCUCAUUAUUAUUUAUAGUUAUAUUGUACAAGUUAAGGCAAUGACUGGGGUAGCAUGAGUUUGACAAGAAUAGGGAAGAGCCAAUUUGAAAUUCCAGAUUUUCAAACACACAUUUUUCAGGCUAAAACACAAGCACUCUAAAGCUACUUAUGUCACCCUUAGAAUUAGCAUCUAAAUGUAUGCCGGAGUCCAGCUCCAGCAGAUCCAGGGUUUCCUGAAGGAUGGGCGGCGUCAGCAAAAGAAUGGACACAGACCCAGCGUUUAUGUGGGACUGCUCAUUUAUUGAUUGAAUCAACCAAGCUUAUAUACAAUUUUUAUUUCCUCUUAGCAAGCGUCAUACAUCUCGUGAUAUUUUUUAACUUUCCAAUCCACCAAAUAUGUCCUCAUGAUUUUGUGUGUCAAGGGGACAUUCACGAUGGUCUUUUUUCUUGUACUUUCCACUUGACUUCUCAGCAUUUAAUAUAUUUACAACUAUGACCUAAUUCUUACAGAACAGAAAGAAAAGGCUUGUUAACUAUAGAAAUCUCUUUGUUUAGCUCUAACUAUUUUUCAUUAGCAAAGUUAAAUUAUAUUAUCAAAGGUUUCUAAAGAAGAUCUUUUUAGUCUUUGUGGUUAGAUCAAAAGGGCAGAUCACAAUAGAAAUAGAGGCCGUGACGUCUACACUCUUUGGGGUAGAGCUAAUUGACCUGACAUAUCAGUUCACAAUUGGUUGGCCUUCUGCAGCAGCCCCAUAUUUUUCUAACUUGUUUUUAGUUGCUAGGUAUAAACUGUACCAGCUUUCCUCGUGUCAAUGCCCAGUGCCUAUUGUAUUUAUCAGCUAUUCCCUGGUAGGGAAAACAACUUCACACAUUGGGGUUAAAUGGCCCAUGUCCUGGCCUAUUGUCAAGCCUAACCAUAUUCUCAAAGUAGCACUGGUAAUCAGAAAGCAUUCUAUUGGGGACUUUCUUAGGGGCAGUCCCAUAAGUGGAAAGGGGAUAGAGAAAGGGGGAACUGUAGGGACUUUAGGGAUUUCUUGCAGCCUAUGAGAAAGCACUAAUUCCCAGUGUUUACCCUCUCCUGAGCCUUUUUCUUGGGAUCUUUCAUUAAGCUGUAAUUCCCCAGCUCCCAAGGUUUCCACUGGCAGUAUGACUAAACAGAGAAGAAGAAGCAGGACCGUCGCUUUCCCAGACUUGCCAUGCAGUCUGGGGUCAUCAGUCUCCUUGACCAUGUCAGAAGGCAGACCCUCACGAACAGCUCCCAGCAUAUGUACAUAUUUCUUCCAGUGAGUGCUAAAUAUAUGCAUAAAAAUCAUAAACUGGGCUAUAUGAUGAUGCUCAUCUUCAAAGGACAGUGCAACCGUCCAGAUAUUUAGUUUGUUCCAUUUUCAUUAAAUAAAGUGUAUCUAGGCAUCAUAUAAAGAUCCUUAUAAAGCUACUUGCUUAGUCUUAAAUAAUGGUUUUUGAUGCUUUGGUGAGAAAUCUUCACAGAACUCUUCAAAUUUAAGUUAUCCUUUGAAAUGUUCUUUCCCAAAGAUUGACAUAAUUCUUUUAUUUUGUCAAAAAAGCUAAAGCAGUGAUUUAUCUUAAUAUGUGUUAGGUAUUCAGUGCCUCUUACUUUCAUAUCUAUACAAUAAAUUCCUUUUAUAGCUUGGAGUUGGGACCAUAGGAAAGCUGUUUCUCUCCAGACUGUUUCUCUCCAGACUGUUUCUGCCAGUCUCUUUCAUCAGAUAAGGAGGAAAAUGAAACUCAUUCUUAUCUUCUCUCCUCUAUUAUGUGACUUCAUUUUCAUUUUAAAAGUUCAACUUAUUGAUUUCAUCUUGGUAUAUCCAUUAUACAUGUUUAGUGCAUAUAGUGUAGAUAAAUAAUAAAAAGUUUAAAAAGCCACAAUUUUGUUUUAUUUUAAUGAAAAUAUUACCUAAAAGUAUUUUAGUUUUCCUAAAUAUCAUAAUUAUCCUAUUAAUACACACUCUUAGAAAAAAAUCAUAUUUUGUCUCCUUUAAGAAUGUACCUUGUUAUCUUUUCAUUUAUUUUGAACAAAUAUUUAGGACACUAAGUGCUAUUUUUAAAAAGUUUUAAUUCUUUAGUAUUCCAUAACUAGCAAUUAAAUUUAGACACACAGAUAUAUUUCAAUUAUUCACUUCUAAAAAUAAUUAGAUUCAGCUUCAAGGAUAUUUAAUAUAACUACACAUCUAAGAUUAUUUCUUUAGGAUACACUUCCAGAAGUGGUUUAUUUCUUGAUUGAAAGGGUGUAAAAAAUGUUAAGACGUUUGACUUAUGCUUUUAAAAUCCCCUGUAGAAAAUAUCCAUUUUCUUAAUGGGCCAAGUUUAUGUAUGCCUUGUAUUAUAAAUUGCAUCAAAUAUAUAUUUUAUAUGCAUGCCAUACACUAGAAAUGCAAAUGUAAUUAGAUAAAGCAACAGAUAUAAUACCUAAUUAUUAUAUGACAAGCUGACAUAGUUUUAAGUGUAUUU